AUCGAACGCUGGCGGCAUGCCUAACACAUGCAAGUCGAACGAGUGACGAACGGUUGAGUAAUGUCUGGGAAACUGCUCGAAGGCGGCGGAUAAGUACUGGAAACGGCUGCUAAUACUGCGUACCAUCGGCUUUGCCCAGGUGGGAUUAGCUAGUCGGUGGGUUAACGGCGCACCUAGGCGACGAUCCCUAGCCGGGCUGAGAGGAUGACCGGCAACACUGGAACUGGGACACGGUCCAGACUCCUACGGGAGGCAGCAGUGGGGAAUAUUGCACCAUGGGCGCAAUCCUGAUGCAGCCAUGCCGCGUGUAUGAAGAAGGCCUUCGGGUUGUAAAGUACUUUCAGCGGGGAGGCGUUACUCGCAGAAGAAGCACCGGCUAACUCCGUGCCAGCAGCCGCGGUAAUUC
rnacentral:rRNA from 1 species